UAUCUCUGUAGAGUCUGCAUAUCAAUAAGCGGAGGAAAAGAAACUAACAAGGAUUCCCCUAGUAACGGCGAGUGAAGCGGGAAGAGCUCAAAUUUGAAAUCUUCAAGGUUUGACCUUGACGAAUUGUAGUUUAAAGAAGUGUUUUCGGUUAGAGGAGUAGUAAAAGUUCUUUGGAAUAGGACAUCAUAGAGGGUGAGAAUCCCGUAUUUGACUAUUCUUUCUAGCUUUGUGAUACACUUUCAAAGAGUCGGAUUGUUUGGGAAUGCAGUCCAAAAUGGGUGGUAAAUUUCAUCUAAAGCUAAAUAUUGGCGAGAGACCGAUAGCGAACAAGUACCGUGAGGGAAAGAUGGAAAGAACUUUGAAAAGAGAGUUAAACAGUACGUGAAAUUGUCAAAAGGGAAGCGUUUGACACCAGUGUUGUUUUUCCGAAAAUCAAUUAAAAAUUGAUUCAUGCCAGGUUGUAUUGACCUUAUCAGCUUGCAAUUUGGUUUUGGGUCUCUUUUUGAUGCACUCUUCGGUUAACAAGUCAACAUCAAUUUCCUUUGCUGUAAAAAGGUAAGAGGAAGGUGGCUUCAAUUUCGGUUGAAGUGUUUAUAGCCUUUUAUCUCUGCAGUCGGGGAGAUUGAGGUCUGCAGCGUAGAUCCUUCGGGGCUAGAUACAUUUAUGCUAAGUUAUAGCUUUUCAUAGACAACUUGUUGACUAUGUUUAGUCAUGUAGCUUACUCGUAAGUGCUAUUUUACCUACGCUUAGGAUGUUGAAGACUCUACAGAGAUA
rnacentral:rRNA from 1 species